rnacentral:rRNA from 1 species
AUUGAACGCUGGCGGCAUGCCUUACACAUGCAAGUCGAGCGCGAAAGGGGGCAACCCCGAGUAGAGCGGCGAACGGGUGAGUAAUACAUCGGAACGUGCCCAGUAGUGGGGGACAACCUCGAGAAAUCGAGGCUAAUACCGCAUACGACCUACGGGUGAAAGCGGGGGACCGCAAGGCCUCGCGCUAUUGGAGCGGCCGAUGUCCGAUUAGCUAGUUGGCGGGGUAAGAGCCCACCAAGGCGACGAUCGGUAGCUGGUCUGAGAGGACGACCAGCCACACUGGGACUGAGACACGGCCCAGACUCCUACGGGAGGCAGCAGUGGGGAAUUUUGGACAAUGGGCGCAAGCCUGAUCCAGCCAUGCCGCGUGCGGGAAGAAGGCCUUCGGGUUGUAAACCGCUUUCGGCCGGAACGAAAUCGCUCGGGCGAAUAUCCCGGGUGGAUGACGGUACCGGAAGAAGAAGCACCGGCUAACUACGUGCCAGCCGCCGCUGUAAAAC